AUGGGUGGAGGCAAGCAGGUUGGAAGAAACGUCUGGUGUGACACCUGGGUGGCUGGAGGAAUGGGGAUGUGGUCAGGUUGCAGGCCCCUGCUGCAAGAUACAGCCCUAAAUUUGGCCCCAGUGUGCAAGGUGCAGGCAGAGACCUUGCAACGUGUGAUACCACGUCCUUGCAGCAGCUGUGGUGACUCGAACACAUCUUGCUGCAGAAGUUGGACAUAUGCCUGGGCAGCACACAUAUCUUGCCCUAGGAUUUUAUGGCUUGUCCCUUUCCCUGAUCCCAAGUCAGCAAUUGAUCAGCGUUGCUGCGUUUCAUUGUCAUCACUACGAGGCAGUAAAUACACCAGUGACGUUACGCGAAUAACGCAACCUUUGGCUGCUGUGCAGUGCGUGUGGCAAGCCAGCAUUCCUCAAGAAAGCAAGUCCUCCUCCCUGCGUCUUGUCUUCUUUCUUACCCUACUUGGCCAACAAAAGGCCUCGUGUGACCUCGCAGACAACUGA
rnacentral:lncRNA from 1 species